rnacentral:tRNA from 1 species
GGUAGUGUGUCAGAGCACAGAAUUUGGUUUGCAUGUCUGAGGUCCCAAAAGUCCCAGGUUCAAUUCCCUGGCACUGUCU